GGUACCGGCGCGAAUAGCCGCUUUUGCUUUUGCAGAAGAGGAAAGUCCGAACUCCAGAAGGCCAAGAUGCCGCGUAACUCGCGGGACCUGUGCCGUAACGGGACAGGGACGGAAAGUGCCACAGAAAACAGACUUCCUGAAUCAUGGGUUAGGGUGUGGUCUUGCCCUGUACCCGAAUCCGCUUUGGCGGAUGAGUGGUUCAGGGGAUGGUGAAAAGGCGGGGUAAGAGCCCACCGGCCGCCGGGUAACCGGCGAGUGCAUGGCAAACCCCAUCCGGAGCAAGGCCAAAUAGGGGGAAGUCAAUAAAGUGGUGCCGCUUGUUUCCCCGGGUAGGCCGCAAGAGGUAUUGGGUAACCAAUAUCCUUAGAGAAAUGGCUAUAAGAACAGAAUUCGGCUUAUGGCCCGGUUCCAAAU
rnacentral:RNase_P_RNA from 3 species